GAUGAAGAACGUAGCGAAAUGCGAUACGUAAUGUGAAUUGCAGAAUUCAGUGAAUCAUCGAAUCUUUGAACGCACAUUGCACUCUCUGGUAUUCCGGAGAGUAUGCUUGUUUGAGUAUCAGUAAACACCUCAAAUCUCUUGUUUCUUGUGAAUAAGAGAAUUGGACUUGAGCAAUCCCAACUCUUGCAAAAGAGGCGGGUUGCUUGAAAUGCAGGUGCAGCUGGACAUUCUUCUGAGCUAAAAGCAUAUUUAUUUAGUCCCGUAAAACGGAUUAUUACUUUUGCUGCAGCUAACAUAAAGGUUGAAUGGCCAAUAUGGCUGACUGAUGCAGGAUUAACAGAGAAUUUAUUCUUUGUAAACUCGAUCUCAAAUCAAGUAAGACUACCGGCUGAACUUAAGCAUAUCAAUAAGCGGAGGA
rnacentral:misc_RNA from 1 species